UGAGGACUUACCGCCGAUGCGUUUGAUUUUUUCAGCUGUCUACCUUGUUCGUUUCGUCUGUCUGAGGAAUCUGAGACCAGUGUCGUCUGAAUAUCAGAUUCAAGGAGUGGCUUGACGGAUGGCGAUAGUAAACCUGCACUGGUGAUAAGACGAGUAAACACGCAGGAACACCCGAACACAAGUUCAAACCCUUUAAACGGUGAUAGCGGAAAAGAAUCUACCAGAAAUUCUUCCCUGUAAUUUUCUAUUUAUCUCUUUUUCUAUCUGAAACUUCGAGCAUUUCUUUCAUUUUUCCUUUGUAUUUAUUUUGCUUAAUCUACCUAGAAACCGUCAGGGCAUCGUCACGCUAAGCUCUCUUUAUAGGAGAUCGGUUUUAUGACCGCUGUUUCUCCAUUACGCCAAGAAACAUCUUUCUACCCUCUCCCACCCCAACAACUAUUAAAAAAACAUGUUUGGGUAGUAUCCAUUUUUUGAGUAGAUAAAGCAAUUUUUCUUCUGAUCUCAGUUUUGGAAAAUUUCCCACAAUUUUUUAGAAUUUUGUCAAUAAUGAUUUUAGUCUAGAAUGUGCCAAAUUUCAGAAUUAUGCAUUUUUUUAACAGCAUGUUGAACUAUUUAUUUGAAAGAGCUUUCUCUGUGGUGUUUCACUGACAACACGCUAAGCCGAUUCGAGUCUGCGAAAGGAGAGAGCAAGUUAGCGGGGAUCUUGAUCUAGCUACCUUACCUAUGUUGUUUGUUUUCCUUACCUAUGAUGUUUGUUUACCUUACCUAUGUUGUUUGUUUACCUUACCUAUGUUGUUUGUUUUCCUUGCCUAUGAUGUUUGUUUACCUUACCUAUGUUUUUUGUUUACCUUGCCAAUGUUGUUUGUUUACCUUACCUAUCUUGUUUGUUUACCUUACCUUUGUUGUUUGUUUACCUUACCUUUGCUGGCAUGUCUGUUUAUCUUACCUUCUUAUCUUAUCUUAUCUUAGCUGCUUAACUACCAACAUUACCCAACCAAAAGCUUAAAAGUAUCCUCUCCAUCGUCCAUGUUUAUUCUGACCUCAUCCGAAAAGUGAAUCUCUCAAAACCUUUUUGUAACUUCUUUUCAGAGUUUUAUUAAAGCAAGACGCUGGUUAUUUCUUAGUCCGUUCGUAUUCGAAUAAUUGGCCCAUUAUCGCUCGACUGACAUUCGUAAGGAAAGAGAGCCCACCGAAAUAUGGAGAAAACAGGGAAUGUUUUUUUUUUUUUCAGGAUAUUUCGGUGUUUUAUUUGAAUUGGCAGCUUUUGGGCGAAUAAAACAGGUUUUAUUACAGUGCCCACCGCAAUAAUGGUCAUUAUUCACAAAUGACGUUUGUUGCAUCAAAUCAGACCUUUACAGCACUAGGUUGUGUGACGUCACUAGAAUGAGAGUCAUUUUUAUGGAACGAACCCUCUUUUGAAAAGCAUAUGUACUUGUGCGUGUUGUUUUUCAAGUCUGAUUGUAAAAGGUUUUUGUGUAAAUACAAGAACUAGCUAUUAAAUAAAUCGAACAAAACAUA